rnacentral:lncRNA from 13 species
ACCUCACAGGAACUCCUAGAAGAAGGUAGGAGCUCAGGGCACGUUCCCUGACCCCUUUCCUGAGCUGUUAAGGACAAGCUGGCUCACUAGGGGCAGGUGAAUCCUGCCGACCCACUGUCCGGCCUCACUGCUCUCUUCUGAGGAGUAACAGCAGCUUCCACUUCCCAGGUCUGUCUGUGCACCCAGAUCCCUGGAUUUCCUGCCCAGUGUCCCUCAGAGAUGGCUCCUCCUUAUAUGCCCUGGGGCCCAGCUGAUGAACCCGAAACCUUGGGCACCUCCCAACUCACUCCCUUUCGCUGCCAAUUAAAUUAGCUCCUGGACCACACCGUGGGUAUUCCUCCACCCACAGCCCAAGAACAAACAGCAAAUAAACGAAACAGAUGGGCUCGGUCUGCUCUGCUGGCUCCCAGCGCUCCCAAACUCAGGGCGGGGCUGAGACUGUACUAAACCAUUUCUCCUUUGCUCCUGGGCACACAGCUAGAUGACAUUGUCCACCUCCCUUGUAGACAGGGAUGGCUUGGGGCCACGUGGCUGAGUUCUGGCCAGUGGAAUGUGAUGACUGCCAUGCUCACACCUGGCCUGUGACACCUCCCAUGUAACAUAUCUGCUGCCACCCUGCUUUCUGCCAGCCGGAUGAAGAGGAUCCAACAGAGAACUCCGAGGCCCUAGGAGACUGGGGAGGACACUUUCGAAGGAAGCUUUAUUUGUUAUUUUACUAAAAUUAUUAAUAUUUUAUGAUACAGAGUCUCACUGUUGCCCAGGCUGGAGUGCAGUGGCAUGAUCUCGGCUCACUACAACCUCCGCCUCCCAGGUUCAGGCAAUUCUCCUGCCUCGACCUCUUGAGUAGCUGGGAUUACAGAAAUCUCUACCUCUGAGUUCUGAGGGAAGGCAGUUGGUAUUGGAAGAGGUCAUGGGAAGCAGAUUUUUAGAUGGGAUUUUUUGAGUUGUAUGACUGUCACGUCCAGCAAUGAGGCCUCCAUCCCUGGGGUAGGUAUCUGCUGUGCAGUGCAGUUGUUAAAACUGUCAGUCACGGUGAACUGAGAUGGAAAAUCCCACGAAAGGGAAUCUUAGCCAUUUGAGAGGUUUGGGGAAAGGAAUCGUUAUAAAACUAUGGAGUCAGAUAGUGAUUGCUGGCCAGGCACAGUGGCUCACCCCUCUGUAAUCCUGGCAUUUUGGGAGGCCACGGCAGGAGGAUCGUUUGAGGGUAGGAGUUCAGGACCAGCCUGGGCAUCCUAGCAAGGUCCUUUCUCUACAAACAAACAAACAAACACCCAAACCAAACCAACCAAACAAACAAAAAACCAGCCAAGAAUGUCUGGAGACGGUCCUGGCUGUCAUAAUUGUGCGGGGGAGAGAGAUGGCGUUGCUAUUGACCUAGGAGGUAGAGGUCAGGGAUGCAGUUAAAAUUCCUACAA